rnacentral:lncRNA from 1 species
AUCUGUUUUCUUUUUAGAGACAAAUUUGAUUGGGUAGUUUCAGAUUUCCUGCCAAAUCAAAUACAUCAAAGGAAAGAAUCUAGAAUCGGUAUUCGUGUUUUUGGUGAAAAUAUUGAAAAAUUGUAAUGUUUGAUUUUCGAAAAAUAUAUAAAAAAACUUAUUUUUAAUUGAUAAUUUGGCUGGGUAAUUUGAUAUUUUCUUGUUUGGAGUAGGAAUUACAUGAGUAUUUAAUUGAUUGACAGAUCUUAUUAGUUUGAUGUUUAACCUGAAUAUCAGCACUCGAAAGUGAUACAGAUAUUUCGAUAACUGUACGUCUUGUUCGUUAUGAAUACAAAUGGAAGACUCUGCAUUUUCUUAUGUGUUUAAUUGAAAUGAAAAAUAUCACCUAGAAAAGAAAAUAUUUUCCAUCUUUUGUGGAAAAUAAAAAUCACCUCUACUCAAGGAAAAUAUUUUCCUUAAUAACAAGAAAAAUUAGGCAUAUUUUCAAAAGUUGGGAAAUGUUUUUCAUGGAAAAAAAUAGCAAUCAAACACUUCAAGUGAAAAUUUGGAUGGAAAACUAAUAUUUUCCAUGGAAAAUAAAUGUAAUCAAACACACCUUUAAUGUUUGUUUCAUUUCUUCGUAGUCUUGUCCUGAAUUGAAUUUAAACUUGCAUGUAUAGUGGUGUUUUUUAUAUGCCUGAAAGCGAUAGUUAUGACUAGCGUCGUUCUAUCUUCGUUCAGGGGAAAAAAUUACCCGUUCGAGUGAUAAGUUAUAACAAUAAUUUCCCAAUUUCAUGUUAAGAAUAACUAUGAUUUGUUUGAUGAGAAAUAAAAAGGAAUAUCAAAAAUUAUAGUGGUUGCAGCUGAAACAACUGCUUUCGAAACAGCGGGAAGAAAAUCAAUCGACAACUAAAGUGAGUCAAAGUCGAAAAAAGGGGCCCCUUUACCAUUUCUGUAUAAAUGGAUUGAGCAUCUCCUUUUUGCUUUGGAAUUAGUCUGUGUGUGCAAAAUAAAUUCUUCACAGAGUACUCCCAUGGGCCCCACCCCAUAUGUGUAAAAAAUUGCAAAAUAUAUCCACCCCACUGACCCCCUUGUGUGUGUUCUAGAC